rnacentral:misc_RNA from 1 species
GUUUAAGAUUUCUAUUAUAAUUUGAAUUUUUUAAUUCCCGUUUAGUUUUUGGUUUGUUAUUUCUUCUUCAUGAAGCUACUUCUCUUUAUUUAUCCUUAGACUUUAGAUUAAGUCUUAUUUAUCUUAAGGUCUUGGAUUAGGUCUUAUUUAUUUUUAAGGCCUUGAUCAUGUGUUGAUCCUUUUUUGGGCUACACGCUGUGUCAAGUGGUAUCAAAGCAGGAAUUUCACCCUUAUUAUGAUGGCUAAUGAUGGUGGGGGCAGUAACAAUUAACCUCGUAACAGUGAUUAGGGGUUGCUAGUUAUUUCGAGAGCAAUCAAGAACAACGAAACAAUAUGGAGCAAUUUAGAACAAAUUUGGGAUGCCAAUUUCAAGAGCUUCAAGAGCAAUUGUGUGCCAUGUUGAAUGUUGGUGGAAAUA